UUAAUUACUGGCAGGGAUGAAUAACAUGAUCAAGAUGGUGGUUCACCAGGCGAGCUUAACCAUUCACUCGGUUAUGCGGAACCCUGCGAAUUCCCAAAUGCGUGGAUCUCGACUGCUUAAUUUGUGCGGUAGUGGGGGACUGCGUUCGCGCUCUCCCAGA